GCAGCGAAGUGGGUGACGUCAAGCUUCCAAGAAAAGCCCUAUACCCGUUAAGGCAUGAUGGCCUGUACCCGAAACCGACACAGGUGGGGUGGUAGAGAAUACCGAGGGGCGCGAGAUAACUCUCUCUAAGGAACUCGGCAAAAUGGCCCCGUAACUUCGGGAGAAGGGGUGCCACCGCAAGGUGGUCGCAGUGAAGAGGCCCAGGCGACUGUUUACCAAAAACACAGGUCUCCGCUAAGUCGCAAGACGAUGUAUGGGGGCUGACGCCUGCCCAGUGCCGGAAGGUUAAGGAAGCUGGUCAGCGUAAGCGAAGCUAGCGACUGAAGCCCCGGUGAACGGCGGCCGUAACAAUAACGGUCCUAAGGUAGCGAAAUUCCUUGUCGGGUAAGUUCCGACCCGCACGAAAGGCGUAACGAUCUGGGCGCUGUCUCGGAGAGAGGCUCGGCGAAAUAGAAUUGUCUGUGAAGAUGCGGACUACGUGCACCCGGACAGAAAGACCCUAUGAAGCUUUACUGUAGCUUGGUAUUGUGCUCGGGCUCGGAAUGCGCAGGAUAGGUGGGAGGCUAUGAACCAUUGCUUGUGGGUGAUGGUGAGCCACUGGUGAGAUACCACUCUUUCCGAGCUAGAGUUCUAACAGCCACCCGUUAUCCGGGGGCUGGACAGUAUCAGGUGGGCAGUUUGACUGGGGCGGUCGCCUCCUAAAAGGUAACGGAGGCGCGCAAAGGUUUGCUCAGGCUGGUUGGAAAUCAGCCGACGAGUGUAAAAGCAGAAGCAAGCUUGACUGUGAGACCUACAAGUCGAGCAGGGAGGAAACUCGGCUUUAGUGAUCCGACGGUUCUGCGUGGAAGGGCCGUCGCUCAACGGAUAAAAGUUACUCUAGGAUAACAGGCUGAUCUCCCCCAAGAGUUCACAUCGACGGGGAGGUUUGGCACCUCGAUGUCGGCUCAUCGCAACCUGGGGCUGAAGUCGGUCCCAAGGGUUGGGCUGUUCGCCCAUUAAAGCGGUACGCGAGCUGGGUUCAGAACGUCGUGAGACAGUUCGGUCCAUAUCCGGUGCAUGCGCAGGAAUAUUGAGAGGAUUUCUCCCUAGUACGAGAGGACCGGGAGGAACGCACCUCUGGUGUACCAGUUAUCGUGCCAACGGUAAACGCUGGGUAGCCAUGUGCGGAGAGGAUAACCGCUGAAAGCAUCUAAGUGGGAAGCCCACCUCAAGAUGAGUAUUCCCAUGGGUUAACCCAGUAAGGUCACGGGAAGAACACCCGUUGAUAGGCUCUACGUGGAAGCGCAGUAAUGUGUGAAGCGGAGGAGUACUAAUAGACCGAGGGCUUGAC
rnacentral:rRNA from 1 species